rnacentral:rRNA from 1 species
GCGAGUGGCGGACGGGUGAGGAAUACAUCGGAAUCUACUCUGUCGUGGGGGAUAACGUAGGGAAACUUACGCUAAUACCGCAUACGACCUACGGGUGAAAGCAGGGGAUCUUCGGACCUUGCGCGAUUGAAUGAGCCGAUGUCGGAUUAGCUAGUUGGCGGGGUAAAGGCCCACCAAGGCGACGAUCCGUAGCUGGUCUGAGAGGAUGAUCAGCCACACUGGAACUGAGACACGGUCCAGACUCCUACGGGAGGCAGCAGUGGGGAAUAUUGGACAAUGGGCGCAAGCCUGAUCCAGCCAUACCGCGUGGGUGAAGAAGGCCUUCGGGUUGUAAAGCCCUUUUGUUGGGAAAGAAAUCCAGCUGGCUAAUACCCGGUUGGAUGACGGUACCCAAAGAAUAAGCACCGGCUAACUUCGUGCCAGCAGCCGCGGUAAUACGAAGGGUGCAAGCGUUACUCGGAAUUACUGGGCGUAAAGCGUGCGUAGGUGGUCGUUUAAGUCCGUUGUGAAAGCCCUGGGCUCAACCUGGGAACUGCAGUGGAUACUGGGCGACUAGAGUGUGGUAGAGGGUAGCGGAAUUCCUGGUGUAGCAGUGA